rnacentral:rRNA from 1 species
GUCGGUAAAACUCGUGCCAGCCACCGCGGUUAUACGAGAGACCCGAGUUGAUGAGUUUCGGCGUAAAGUGUGGUUAGGAAAUUUGCCGUCUAAAGUUAAACCCCUCCAGAACAGUUAUACGCCCCCGGAGGGGGGAAGCCCGACCACGAAAGUAGCUUUAAGCCUCCGACCCCACGACAGCUAUGAUACAAACUGGGAUUAGAUACCCCACUAUG